rnacentral:rRNA from 1 species
GACGAACGCUGGCGGCGUGCUUAACACAUGCAAGUCGAACGGAAAGGCCCUGCUUUUGUGGGGUGCUCGAGUGGCGAACGGGUGAGUAACACGUGAGUAACCUGCCCUUGACUUUGGGAUAACUUCAGGGAACUGGGGCUAAUACCGGAUAGGAGCUCCUGCUGCAUGGGGGGGGUUGGAAAGUUUCGGCGGUUGGGGAUGGACUCGCGGCUUAUCAGCUUGUUGGUGGGGUAGUGGCUUACAAAGGCUUUGACGGGUAGCCGGCCUGAGAGGGUGACCGGCCACAUUGGGCCUGCGAUACGGCCCAGACUCCUACGGGCGGCAGCAGUGGGGAAUAUUGCACAAUGGGCGGAAGCCUGAUGCAGCAACGCCGCGUGCGUGAUGACGGCCUUCGGGUUGUAAACCGCUUUCGCCUGUGACGAAGCGUGAGUGACGGUAAUGGGUAAAGAAGCACCGGCUAACUACGUG